GGUGCCAGCCGCUGCGGUAAGUACGGAGGGUGCAAGCGUUAAUCGGAAUUACUGGGCGUAAAGCGCACGCAGGCGGUUGAUUGAGUCAGAUGUGAAAUCCCCGGGGCUUAACCCGGGAAUUGCAUCUGAUACUGGUCAGCUAGAGUCUUGUAGAGGGGGGUAGAAUUCCAUGUGUAGCGGUGAAAUGCGUAGAGAUGUGGAGGAAUACCGGUGGCGAAGGCGGCCCCCUGGACAAAGACUGACGCUCAGGUGCGAAAGCGUGGGGAGCAAACAGGAUUAGAUACCCUGGUAGUCCACGCUGUAAACGAUGUCGACUUGGAGGUUGUGCCCUUGAGGCGUGGCUUCCGGAGCUAACGCGUUAAGUCGACCGCCUGGGGAGUACGGCCGCAAGGUUAAAACUCAAAUGAAUUGACGGGGCCCGCACAAGCGGUGGAGCAUGUGGUUUAAUUCGAUGCAACGCGAAGAACCUUACCUACUCUUGACAUCCAGAGAACUUAGCAGAGAUGCUUUGGUGCCUUC
rnacentral:rRNA from 1 species